UAGGGUUACAAUGGUGAGUUUUAAGGAACUUUUCACACACUUUUACCGUGUGUGAAAAGUGCCUUAAAACUCACCAUUCCUGCCAUAGUCUCGAUUCCUACACAUUUCUUCGGAUUUAAGUGCAGUUCUUUCAACAAGUUCAAUACUAUUUUUCCCAAUGCUGCUCCUGUCAGGCCUUGUUCUUUCCCUCUUUCUUGAUUUUCACUGAUUAUUUUUAGGUUCUCAUAAGCGUCAAUGAAUUUGACAAAGUCUUCACGAUUGUUGUUAUGGUGUAUGUAUCUCAAAUUUAUAGAAAGCUGUUCCACGUAGGAUACGUCGGUCGUUUCGUCAAAUAUUAUUUGUUUAAUUAUUUCUUCACCACAACAUGUUAUUAAUUGAUUUUGACUGCUGCUACUAAUGUAUGUUGCUCAGGAAGAUGCUGUGGAUAGGUGUUAUUUAAGAGUCUUAUCUCCUGAUGCGAUUUUAAAUCUUAACAAUUCCCCUCAUUGCUAGGUCCAGCAUCUUCGUCCAGAAGCAGAAGGCCAUCAUCACGAUGGUCUCUUAGAGGAAUAUUUUGUCGACCUAAGAACACUAAAGACCCUACUAUUGGUCGUAGUCUUUCUUUAUUUUUUUGUAUCUGUUUAGCCCUCUGAGAGUAUAUCUGUUAAUGACUGACUUUGGAGGGUUGCGAUAACUUUGUAGAAAAUCCAGCUCAACCUGAACGCACUCCUUGUGGUAUGAUGUUUUUUCAUGAGUUUAUAUGGCUCCGUCUUUGCUCAUGAGUUUGGCGAAAGAUGUUAAAGGUUUCGUGCCAAGGCUCUGGUAUAUCAUCCCCUAAUUGUGACCUUAUUUUUCAUUAGAAAAAUAAAACGCAAUACUUGUAAAACAAGUCCUUUUGACUGUGAGAAAAUAUUAGCUGAGAAUUAUUAUGCAAGGAGGGAUCCAAGGAAGAAGACGCAUCUCCUGGCUGAGGAACCUUAGAGAAUGGUUUAACUGUAGUUCAUUACAACUAUUUAGAGCAGCAGCCAACAAAGUGACCAUAGCCAUGAUGAUAUCCAACCUCCGAUAGGAGAGGGAACUUUAAGAAGAAGAAGUGAGAAAAUACCAACCAACUCCUUUGUUCUAAGUGCUACUGACCCAAGUAACGCUUCAUUUCUUUUUUAUUCUUUAAGUGUAUAGAAUAUGGAAAUUUGUACGAUUUUGAUGGCUGUCAAGGUCAUUCUAACAAUUGGCAUUUUGUAAAAUUAUCAACAUUUUAAUUUAAAAAAACCCAAGUCAUUCUUGAAGCUUCCGUUACUUCCUUUUUUCAAUUCUAGUCUAGAAAUCAUAUUUUAAUCUCCUGUUUUAUACAUGUAUAUGUACCUAUUUGAAAUUAAAAACAUUUGAAAUGCACCCUAACAACACACAACAUUCCAGGAAUGUACUACCAAAGUUCUAUCAAUAUUUGAAUGUCCUGGACAUUUAGGGAACAUUCGGUGAACAUCUGUUUAAAUUAUUCCUGGAAUGUUACCAUAAGACAUUCUGUGAACAUACUACCAAUGUUCCUAUAUUUUAAGUUGCGAAAUAAUACAUACGUGUAACAGAUUCAGAUACAACAUUACUUAUAACAUACCAGACAAACUAAGUGACAUUUUAGGCCUACAGUGUCAAAUUUAAAGAGUUUCCAAGUUCAAUUAAUACAAUAUUAUAAACAUACAAAUGUAAUAAAAAUUAUUGUUCGCGAAUAUUCAAUUUGGAAUGCGAUUUUGUUGAUAAAAAAAUACUUAUAACUUAUGCAAAACCCAAGAGAGGCAUUAUUUAUAUUUAUUUCUUUUGCGUUCAUUUUCAAAUUCGCCGUGCAUAUAUUUUUGUGCAUGGCGCUUGAGAGGGCAUCACGUGACUAAAAACGACCAACCAACGACCUCGCUUCGGCCAUCUUGGCAUCUUCAUUUUCAUUUCAUCUUGGCAAAGAAUACAUAUCUCCCAAAUCUCCCUUGAGAUAUGUAUUCUUUGAUCUUGGCCACCUUGCCCGGCCUUGCCUUGCCGUGGAUAGUUUGUAUUAUUUGUGCUUUUUAAGAAUAUUUUUUUAAUUCGGAUACUUUUAUAAUAGCUUUAAUAGUAUUAUUAACAUAGUGCAUAAAAUGGUGUCCUGUUUUUGACGCAGUUGGAGUAGCAGAAACAAAUGUAGAUAAAAAAAUCUGCAGGAAUAACGUUUCAAUUAUGACAGAAGCUCGAAACAAAUGACUGUGAAUUAGUGUGAAUGAAAAGCCCUAUUAAAAGCUUUCCAGAAGAUCCUGCGAAGAAGACAUGAAGUAUAGAUCAGAUUUGUUAAUAGAGGAGUAUGUUCAAAACACUUUUUAGAAAAAGAUAUUGACAGAACUUCACUUUCAUCUGUUCGUUUGAGAGACUGUGCUGUUCCAAUAGCUUAUGUCACACAGGUAUAUGCAUAACCUAAUUAAUAAUAUAGUCCGUACAAUAUAGAUACUGUUGUAAUUCAUUAUCUACAUCGGAGAUCUAAGUUGACAUUGUUGCCCAACUACAAAAAAUUUUUGAAUUCAUUUUAAGUCAAAUAUAUCACAUAAUUAUUGUGAAGUAGAUUAUACAACAAAACAUAUUAAUAUUCAAUGUAAAUAAAUAAAAACAUCAGAAAUAGAAAACAAGAAUUAAGGUAUAAUCUUAUGUUACAGUUAUUAAGGUACCAAGGGUAUUAUAAGGAUAAUAACGCUUGAGGUCAAUGGUGUUUUUAACAAGGGCCUUCGUCCUGAGGGAUAUACGUUGACCGAAAGCGUUAUUAUUAUAAUACCUGUGGUGCCUUCAACGUUUAAUGUCCGACUAAAUUAUUCUUUAUAUGCGAAAAAUUUGAAUGAAUUUUGAAUUGAUUAGUUUUUAAACAAGUACAUUUACCAGUAACAGUAGUAACGUAAUUGUGGUAACCAUAGUUUUACUUAGGUUGAUAUUUGUCAACUUGACAGUAUCUAAGUCGUUAUUUAAAUUUAAUGCCCAAGGGCGUUAUAUCGUACUUAACAGACUUCGAAAUGUCAUUAUUUGUCAAAUAAUGUACCAGUAGGACAUUAAAGUAAAUAAUAAAAACAAUAAAUAUAAUGAAUACUAAAUUCUUAUUUGUUUGUGAAAAAUCUAUUUCUUUGUGGCUUUUUUGUAAUUAACUAUUCUAAUGGGGAAAUAAGCCACAAUUUACUUGAAAAAUAAUUUUAUUAAGGUUUCUACUUCCACAUCGGAUGUCGUUGUCAAAAUACAAAAUGUUCAUUAUUAUUAUUUUAUGUAUUAAAUAUUAUUUAUUAUUUAUUUAAAUAUUAUUUAAUAUUUAUUUUUUUAUUAUUAUUAUUUAUGCGUAUUAUUACCUGUAAAUAAUAUUUCUUCUGAUUGUUAAUUGUAAAGGAUAGAAAAAUUACCUUUUAAUUUAUUUUCUUUUAGAAUCAGCUGAGAGAAGUGGUCUACAAAAAACCAGAAAGGAAACGGAAUAUGUGGCUACGAAAAGCAAAAGAAAGGUUUACAAAGCAAAUGUGACACAUUUUUUUAUAAUAUUUAGGAAUGUCAGUAAAUUACAUUAAAAAAUGUAUGUAAAGAUUUUUUGCAAUAAAAAUGUUUAUAUUUA
rnacentral:lncRNA from 1 species